CAUGUCUUUUUGAUUAUGAUUUAAGGUUUAAUCUGCUCUAUGAGUUAUUAAAUGGCCGCAGUAUUUUGACUGUGCAAAGGUAGCGUGAUAAUUAGUUUUUUAAUUGGAAACUGGUAUGAAUGAUUGGACGAGGAAAGAUCUGUUUCAGUAUAAUUAUAAUUGAAUUUAACUUUUGAGUUAAAAGGCUUAAAUGUAUUUAGAGGACGAGAAGACCCUAUAGAGUUUUAUAGUAUAUAAUUAAUAUUGUGAUUUUGAUAUUAGAAUUUUAUAGAUAAUAUUAUUUGAUUGGGGUGAUUAAAAGAUAUAAUUAACUCUUUUUAUGUGGACAGUGAUUUCUGAGUUUUUGAUAGUUUGUUGGAAUUAAAAGAUUAAAUUACCUUAGGGAUAACAGCGUUAUUUUUUAUGAAGUUCUUAUUUAAAAAAGAGAUUGCGACCUCGAUGUUGGAUUAAAAUUUAUUUUUGGUGUAGAAGCUGAGAUAUUAAGUCUGUUCGACUUUUAAAAUUUUACAUGAUCUGAGU
rnacentral:rRNA from 1 species